CCCACGCCCAGUGGCCGGCAGCUUGGCCGCGCAGAUCCUAAACGGCUCUCGCCCUAAUUAUUCUCCCGGAGUCCAAGAUUCCGAACGCCCCCAAAUACUUCCAGAGGAGAAAGGGAACACAGGUUUGAUCCCCGGUCUGGGAAGAUUCCACGUGACUCGAGGCAACUGAACCCUUGCACCACAACUGCUGUGAGCCUUCAUGCUCUAGAGCCUGUGCUCAAAAAGAGAAGCCACUGCGAUGAGAAACCAGUGCACUUCAACUAGAGCAGCCCAUGCUCACCACAACUAGAGACAGCCUGCAUGAAGCAACAAGACCCAGCACAGACAAAAACAAAUAAAUAAAAAUUUAAAAGGAAAACAUCCUUAUCUACCAGCAUCCUCGCUUAGCACGUGGGACUUUACCCCAACGAGCGAUGGAACUAUCACCCCCUGCAGUGGAAGCACAGAGUCUUCAGCACUGGACCUCCAGGAAAGUCCAAUAUUGUUAUUAUUUUCUUCUAAUCUGUUGAAGGAGCUUCUGAGUUGGAGAACAUGUGGAGAUGCGGGGACAUGGUACCUGGAAAGGGGAUGGAAACUCCCACAUACUUUGCCCUUUACAUCUCUUCCAUUAGGCUGAUCCCUGAGUUGUAUCCUUUUAUAAUAAACCAAUAAUCUAGUGAAGAAAAUUUUAAAAACCUGUUGUGUCAAAAUAAAUUCUU